GAUGAACGCUAGCGGCAGGCUUAAUACAUGCAAGUCGAACGGCAGCGGGUCCAGCAAUGGAUGCCGGCGAGUGGCGCACGGGUGCGUAACACGUAUGCAACCUACCUUUAACCGGGACAUAACCUCGAGAAAUCGUGGCUAAUAUUCCAUAAUAUCUUUGAAUCGCAUGGUUUGAAGAUCAAAAUUCCGAUGGUUUUAGAUGGGCAUGCGCGACAUUAGCUAGUUGGUGAGGUAAUGGCUCACCAAGGCUACGAUGUUUAGGGGGUCUGAGAGGCUGAUCCCCCACACUGGUACUGAGACACGGACCAGACUCCUACGGGAGGCAGCAGUAAGGAAUAUUGGGCAAUGGGCGCAAGCCUGACCCAGCCAUGCCGCGUGCAGGAUGACAGCCCUACGGGUUGUAAACUGCUUUUAUACGGGAAAAAACCCUCUGACGUGUCAGAGGCUGAUGGUACCGUAAGAAUAAGCAUCGGCUAACUCCGUGCCAGCAGCCGCCGUAACAC
rnacentral:rRNA from 1 species